rnacentral:lncRNA from 1 species
CCCCUUGCCCUUCCGAGGAAGCGAAAACUCUACCCUCCAGUUAUCAACUGUCCCUCAAGAUUUGUGAGCCGUAAGAAACAAGUACUAGACCCCUAGAAAGGGUGCCAGUCACGUGGACCUGGGCACCAGAGGCCCGGCUGCUCAGGACUGACCGGCUGACCCACUCAGCAGAUCUCCCGGCCAGCCACUUUGCCUGACCCCCACGACCCAAGAUAGCCUGGCUCCAGCUCUGGCCCCUCCUCAGCUGUAUCUCACCUCUUCCCCGCACUGGGCAUUACUGUGAACUCUAAUAUCACGGUAAUCUAAAGGCGUCCCAGGUCUACAGCACUGCAGUCCAGGGUAGCUGGAAGCUGCAUUCAUGACGAGGUGAUCGACCGGAACACGAUACUCAUUUCCCAGGACACUCCUUUUUUUGUUGUGGCUGGAGGAAAAUGAGUUAUAACCUAAGUGGAAAAUGUUCCUUCCUUUCUGCUCCCUAAUUCUCAUAUACCUUGUUGAUUCUCCUUUUAAAUACUCAAGGAAAUGUUAGCCGUUCCCUUCCAGAGGCUACUUUGCUGGGGAGAUGAUGGUGUGGUCUGCUGUCGUGAGCUCCUAGAGGCUGCCUGCAUUUCUUAGCUCCUGGCCCCUUCGUCUGUCUUCAAAAUGCAUCACUUCAAGCUCUGCUUUCAUCGUUCCAUCUUCUACUGACUUUGACCUUCUUGCCUCCCUUGGACUUGUUUACAUGGGACCCAUGGGAAUAAUCCAUGGUCAAUGGGAAUAAUCUUCCCACCACAAGAUCCAUACUUUAAUCACACCAGCAAUGUCCAUUUUGCCAUAUCAGAAACACACUCUCCGGUACUAGGGAUUAAAACAUGAGCACCUUUGGCGAGUCAUUCCUCUGUCUACCACACCUGUGCAGCUGCGAGUAAUAAUACCCAGUCAUCCAUGAUAAAAGGGGCUUUGUUUUCUCACAUCACAGGAAGCUUGGUGGUAGGAAAGCCCCAGGGGUGAAUUUGAUGGCUCUACCCUGGGGACCCAGGUCCUUUGCAUCUUUCUGCUCCACCAUCCGCCAUCCUUUCUCUAUAUGUAAUCGUUACCUUUUUUUUUUUAACUUGUCUUCUACCAGUUGUAAGAUGGAUGCUGCAGCUCCAAGCACCACCCUGUGCAAAGCAGAAGAGGAG